rnacentral:tmRNA from 1 species
GGGGGUGAUUGGUGUCGACCCGGCGCACGUUACCUUCUGCAGCGAGUCGAGGUGCCGCAGGCCUCGUUAAAAGCGGCAAAAACCUAAACGCGAACACACAAAACUACGCGCUCGCGGCCUGAUGGCCGCGCGUCCGCACCGCUCCAGUUGGACGAGCGGUAAACGGGCGUAACUAAAUCCAACUCACCAGCCUGGUGGGGCCGCCCGGCCAGGCAGGAAAAUCAAAGGGCGGCUGGCGCGCGGUCAGCAGGGCUCCCCAGGUAGAUCGCCGCGAGACAAACGAGGGAGAUACGCUCGUAGACGCAGGGGGUUGAGUGGUUGGGGACGGGAGUUCGAGUCUCCCCACCUCCACCA